UUACCAUUUCUUAACUGAUCAUCUUCCAGACUCUACGGUACACUUGUUAUGGUAAUAACGAGGAACAAGAUAUCCCAAGCCAACCGCACCACAUCUUUCUCUUCACCUUCAUUCCUCACCAAGCUGCUUAGCUAACAGAUCAACAGGUAAGGAACCCAGUGGAACUGGUGAUUCCAUCUCUUCCAAUGACUCAUUCACCAAGUAUUCAUCAUCAUCAUCAUUGUACAUCUCAUCUUCACUAUAAUCCUCACUAUUAUAACCUUCAUGCUCUGCCUUUGUACCACCAGUUCCAUCUUCACUUGACAUCACUAAAGCUGGAUAGGAGUGCUCGGUGGCCUGUGAAAUGCCUUCAAAUUCCUCUACUACCUUCAAGCUGUGGUUUCCCCUAUUCUUCACAUUUGUUCCCUCAAAUUAAUUGAUUAGGCCUGAUCACCUGGAUAAUCCCAGAAAAAAUAUUGCCCACUUCCUUUAUUUUGGGAAAAAAAUGUGGUUUGUCCCACUGUUGCUUCCAAUAUCUCCUCACUAGCCUUGUGUCUUAAUGGAGAACAAUCCUUCCAAAAUGGCCUUUGAAACAGGAUAAAUUAGAAAUUCCCUCAGUUUUUCAGUUUUUCUUCAAGGAAAUAGACUCAGUUUGGUGUCUAUUCAAUUAUUUUGUUCAGUAAUGCUUUGUAGUUUUUACAUUUUAUUAUUAAGUUUUGUGAGACUAAUGAGAUUAUUCAUCAGACAUAUUACUCUUACACCAUACAAAAUGGAAUGGCAGAGAGGGAAAAAAGAGAUUUUGUGGAAUUUAUCUAUUUACUUCUUUUUCAUAUGCAGGUUUCAAAAAGGUUUCGAGAAGAUGCUGCCCUGAUGGGUUGUUUUCUUUUAAUUGUGUCCCAUUGAGUGUCAGUGGUAAUAACUCCUAUUCAGAUACAUGUGCUUUUGGCAUAACGAGUCAGUAGGUUCAGAUAAGUUUUCUUCUUGAGCCACAAAGCGUCAUCUUUGAGCAUUCCACAUCUCAAAAGGUAACAAAUAUUGCAAGUAACCCUAUGUUUUGUGAAUGCACUAAACAUUGUCAUUUCAUUCAAGAUGUAGUGAUGAAAGAUUACGUAGGCAUUGAAAAUUUUUAUACUACAUCUUGAGGAGUAAUGAAGUUUAUAAAUGAGGGGAUUAUUGUACUUUUUGUAAUAAGGUUAUCAUGACUCAUGACUCAUGAGAGUGCAGCGUAUAUAUUUUGCUGCAUCUCUAUUUUUCAGAAGAUUAAUCAAAUUUAGAGAACAUCACCUCAUCUCUUCUUCUUUCACCUUUUCUAACAAAGGUUUUGUUGUAUUUGUGAUAGAGGUUUAAUAUUUCCAAGUUUUAUUGUGCUUAUUUAAUUUUUCUCGGCCGAUGAAGCUCAGAAUUAUGAAUCAAUAAUAAGAAACUGGAACAAAGAAACCAAACAAGUCAAUGGGAUUAAAGAAUUUAUGCUUGCAAAGUUCAGCUUGAAACUGUUGCCAGUAAGAAAUGGAACUAGAAUAAGCCAAAAGACAAGAUCAGUGAGCAUCACAGCACCUGCACACAUCUGUUCACCAAAGAAAAAGAAAGCCAAUGACAAAGAAAAUUUUCAACAUUUUGCUUCUUAAGUAUUGAAACCAACCACCCAAUAACAAAAUUAUACUCUUAAUGUCUAAUUUCAUUUCAACACCAAAAGGAAAUGGAGAAUCUUUAGUGAAAAUACAAUCAAAAGUAUCAAUUCAGCAAUAAAAAAUCAGGAUGUGUAUGAGCAAUAUAAGAGAUGGGAGUAUGACUGCAAGAAAAGGUUUAGCAGUCAUAAGGUUAAUAUAAUCAAUCACAGGCACUGAUGUUUAUCCGCACUCUAUCAAGUGUAUCCAUAUUUCAUAGGUUUGGUGUUGCAAUGCCCCUUGGUCCAAGGCUCCAGCACUUCAAUAUUUUCAAAUGGAAGUUCGUAAAAAUUUUCUGGUCUACCAGUAACUAUGAGUGCUUGGUUUUUGUAAACUCAUAUAAAAGCUAGCAAGAUUAAGACAUUAGUUGUAAGUCAAAUUUUGAAAUGCAAACAUACACCAACAUAUCAACCCUGUUAUAGCCUACAAUAAAACCUAGUUAUAUGAUUGUGCUUAAGGGACUACAUGGUUUUGCAUUAGGAGGCAUAGAAAUUUAUACGGUUUUAUCCAUCUGUAGUUUGCCAAAAUGUAAUUCUUUGCUAAGUUAGAUUUAUCUGGAACUCAAAUUGCAAUAUUAAAUAUGAAGAAUGAGUGUUCAUGGAACUUAUUUUUUCAUGAAAAUGUUAUAAAGUUCAUUAUUUGAGCAUAUUAAAAUUUUGUGCAUCCGCAUUUUUUUUUUUGCCUUUUGCCUUUCCUGUAAUAUACAAAAAUAGAUAUUUAUAAACAACAUAAAACACAACUUGGUUAAGUUAAUGAGAAGGGUCCAGCUCUCUGGCCUCACUGAUCUCCAUCAACAUCUGUUGUACUAUAAAGAAGAGAAAAAUGAACCAAUUACUAACAUGGGUUUCCAAAUGUAUGAGAUCAAGCAUACAGAAUACAGUAAUUCAUAAGCAAAUAUUGGGAAAUGAAAAAGAAACCAGGGAGCAAAGAAAUUUUCAUUUGUUGUUUUCCCAUAAAACUGGCAUCUUAUUAUUGGGAGAAAGUUUACCUGAAAGAUAAUCUGAAAUGCGUAAAUCCACAUUCUGGCAGUUUUCCGAACAUGAGAUUGCUCAUAGGUACCAAAGUUCUUGGACAUGUUGGAUGUAUUAGCAUUUUCCCUGAGUGUGGGAGCUAUGUAGGAACCUUGCUCUGCAUCCCAACCCUCAUAAUCAACCCUAUCAAUACCAGCUUUAUUGCGAUAUAGGCGAUAUCCACAAAUGGAGCAAGAAGUUCCGAGCUACAAAUUGAGGAUGAGAGCAUAAGCAACAUAUACAAAAAUAAUUGAGGUACACUGAAAACUUGAAAAUUAAGGAACCAGUAUACAACAAAAAAUCCAUCCAAAAUAAAAAAAUUGAGAAAUAAAUCAACUCUUAUUUUGGGACUCAACACACCUCUGGGCAACAGAAUAACAAUUAAUUCCUAUUUAACAUCUAUGAACAAGAAGAUUUAAAUAGGAAAAAAAAAUCAAGUUGCUUGAGUCCAUAGAAUAAAACAAAGGACAAAUUCGAAUAUCUCUAUCAAAUUUUACACUACAAUACAUAGAUAGAUUCAGCCCAGAAGGCUGUAACAGUUAAAAGAUUAUACCGCAAAAUAGAUGGUGACCAAUGCAAACGUCCACCUGUUCAGAAGAAGAAAACAGAAAAGAAAAACACCAUUUACUUCAUAAGAAAUUUCUCCAAACCGGGAUUUGUUCGAUGAGCACAUCAUUUCCACCUUAUGAGUAUAGAGAUGAACCAAUAAAGGUAGAUAACUUACUGAGUAUAAAAGUAAAAUAUACCACCUCCAUCAAUUACGAUGUUGGCAGUGAGCAAUGUGAAUAGAGUAAUAAAAGCAAUCAUUCGAUAACCAAGAAGGCAACCAGGAUGGAUUUCUUUCAGACAUGUACUCCAAGUUUCAUCCUCAUACAGAGACCCUGCUGUUUCUUUCUGAUUUUCUCUUCUCCUGGCUUUUGUUUUGUUGAAACCUUCAUAUUUCCAUACUAAUAUUGAUGCUACAAUCAUCAUUGAUAAGAGCCAAAUUGCACAGAGGAAGAACCUCCAGUUCAACCAAUAACUUAAGGAGGUUGUAUCGUCAGCCAUGAUUGGCUGCCAGGAAUGCUUUGAGGAUCCUGUCAAGAAAUUCAUGGUGUUAGUUCUACUUGCUGAACUGGUCAAUCCAUUUUCAGGAAAAUCACUGAUUCAUGUCCACAUCCUUCUUCCGGAAGGAAAAGUGAAAUACUGUAUUGGCUUUACUUUAAUCAAAUACAGACAAUUUGCAAAUGAAUGAUGUGUCAGAAAAGGUGUUUGGAAAAUGUUCACAGUUCUGAAAAAGAUUUAAAAAGAAAAAAAGAGCAAGAAAAAGGAAAAUCUUUCAAACAAUAUGCAUAUGGCUUUUUUGUUUACAAAGGACACUGGCAGGCUUGUCAAUGACAGGAAAAACAGAACCCUAACCAUCACCACAAACGAAUUUCCGCAGGAUGAAAGCAUCUAGUUAUAGUCAAAACACCGAAUCCAAGGGAAGUCUUAGAGGAAUAACCCUAAAUAUCGAAUUAUCACAAAAAAAAAAAAAAAAAAAACAACAACAGCUGCAAAAUAUGGAAUUAUAUUGAAAUCAUAUAUAGAACCUCCCACAAAAAUGAAAUAACGGGAGUCAACACACUGAACAAACCAAAAAAAAUUAUCGAACAAGAAGAAAGAAGUAUCAAUAAAUAGUAAUUGGGAGAGGAACCCAUAUCUCAAAAUCCCAUCACAGCCACCAUACACGAAAGUACAGCUCGCUUAUGGACUCAACCCUUUCCAAUUCCCGUAAGACCCGUCAAUUCCAAGGGGAAAGAAAGGGUGUGUGAGAAUGUUUACGGUUCAUAAUGAAUUGAAUUACCUUUUCAAAUGAGAUGCUGUGGUUGGAGGAAUGAAGAUUGAGCGUAGAACCCUUUACCCCUGUUCUACUUCUAUGCGAUAGAAAGAGGAAUUACUUUAUUUGUUUUUCCUGUUUUUGCUUUGAAUUAGGAGGGAGUCCAGUUUGCCGAGAAUUUCAUUAAAACGCGUAUCCAGUAAGGACUCGUUUGUUAGCAGUUAGCACCCGAUUUCUUUGAAUUUACCGCCCAUCCAAAAAGCAGGAUGUUCUCGAAUUUUGAUUUAUAUUAAUUUACCUGUUUUUAUAUGAUUAAAAUUCAAUAUUUUAUCUCACAAUGCUUAAAUCAUGAAUUUAUAAUAGCAUAAAAAAAUUAAUUAUAAUUCAUUCUUACCUUUCCCUUUAAUUUUCUACUCUAAAAAUCAAUAAUUUUAUCAUUACCAUUUUUGACAAAAUAAUUUUUUUUAUAGAAACUAAGCAAAUGGAAAGAUAUUCUUAUAUAAAAAAUAAAAAUUUAAUUUUUUUUAAAAAAAAUCUUAUUUCAAUUAUUAUUUUAUCAUGGAAGGUCUACAAUUUUAUUUUUUUUAAAUAAUAUUUUAAUUCCAUUUAACUUUGACACAAAUAAUUUUUACUAAUAUCUCUUUAGAAUUAUAAAAUAAAAGAGAUAAAGAUACAGAAUUUACCCCUGAAAGGAAUUCUAUCUAUUAGGGAAAGAAAUUUCUAAAACUUUUGAUCAAAUUGAUUCCUUUUAAAAAAGAAAUUUUGGGAUUUUGGGACUGAAUUAUUCUCUAUUUUUAUGGAAAUUGAAUGGAGAAAUAAUAAAAUUUAGAAAAUGGGGAAACUAGGAUGGGAAGGAAAGAAACACAAUAAAAAGGGGAAACGAGAGAAAGAAACAGAAGGUGGAGGAAAAAAAAAAAAGAAGCCUUUUGGAGUCUUGAUUUUUCUUCUGCUUUCAGAGUAAUCCUUCUUCGUUAUCGCUGAUCAUCAGCCCCGCCGCUGCAAUCGCUGUUCAUCAGUAGCACCGUCGCAACUGCAGCAGAAAUCCAGCCCUGACAGGUUCUGUAUUUGGUUUUUAGUUGUUAUUUUAAAUAAAAUCCACACAAUGGAGUAGUCCCAAGAACGUAUUGAUACGUAACAAACAUACUUCUUGCUCUUUAUUUAUUUUUUAUACUCGUUUCUUUCUCUUUCCACAGAAUGAGUUAUACUGAUUGGAGUAAGUUACCAAAAGAAUUAAUAGAGCUAAUUUUCGAUGAGCUACAACAUGCGGGAGACAUAAUUCGGUUUGGAACUGUAUGUAGGUUUUGGGGUUUGGUUGCUUUGGAGGCAAGGCAACAAGUCUUCAAGCCUUUGAGACCUUUGAGUCCGAUGUUGUUACUGCCUCCUAAUAAGGAUGAUGAAGCCCACAAGCUCUAUGAUUUCUUUAAGAAGAAGGCUUAUAAAAUUCAAAUUCCAGCUAUGCGCGAUAAAUGGUGUUGCAACUCAUGGAAUGGGUGGUUAAUCACAAUCAAUCACACUUUCCCUUAUGAAAUAUGUUGUUUAAAUCCGAUUUCAGGUGUGCAAAUCGAUCUACCUCCGGCAAUAACUUUUGAAGAUUCUCCUCCUGACCUUGAUGAAACACCAAUUGAAUUUUUCUUGAACAAGGUUGUUCUGUCUUCUACUCCUUCUCCUUCAAAUGCCAAUUGUGUCAUUAUGACUAUUCAUAGUAAUUAUAAGAAGUUGGCAUUUUGCAAACCGGGUGAUAAGCGGUGGAUUACUUUAAAAAGUGAAGAUAUUCAAUAUAAGGACCUCUUAUAUUAUAAGGACAAUUUUUAUGCAAUAGGAAGGUCGAAAGUUGUACAAUGUGAUAUUGGCGAUGAUCCAAGGGUUAUACCAUUCGCACUACUCCCUAAGAUGGGAUACUUUUAGUAUAGAUAUUUAGUAGAGUCAUCCGGCUGCCUUCUAUAUGUGUUGAGAUAUAUGGAUUUGAAGGAUAACGAAGAUCCUUUAAAGUUGCGGUAUGAAACAACAGGUUUUAAGGUAUUUGAUUUGGAUUCGGAUAAAAGGAAGUUCUCAUAUCGGUAUGAAACAACAACAUUUAAGGUGUAUAAUUUUGACUUCGAUCAAAAGAAGUGGAAGCUAGUAAAAAACAUAAAGGAGAAGGCCCUAUUAUUAGGUCAUAACCAAGCUAUUUCGAUAUCUACUAAAAAAUUUGAUGGAUUUAAAAGCAAUCAUAUCUACUUUUUGGAUGACUAUAAGGAAGGUUACUUUGAAAAUACAUAUGUUUGCCAUGAUAUGGGAGUUUUUAACAUAAAAACUCAUCUCUUUAAGCCCAUUUUUCGUUGUACUCAAUUGUGGGCAUCUCCACUAUUUUGGAUGAGACCUGAACUUUCUUUACAUUGAAAUAUUGUACUACCGUUGUUAUAUCUUAUAAUAAUUCUUUUUUAACCUUUUAUAUUUCUUGUAAUAAUUUUUGUCUUUUUAUUUUAAGUAUCUAAUCUUGUUUUUUUAGUGGGGAUUACCCUCUUAUUAUGUGCAUAAGGUUUUUGGAACUCAAAAACCCAAUUAUGUCAUAGACUUCAAUGUUUGAAGGUUGAGAAAAUUUUUGGUGUAUUUUAGAAUUUGUAUGACUCUAUGAUAAAUGAUUUAUUAUGUAUUCAACUAAUUUAUAAUCAUAAAUUAAAUUUAUAUGAUAGCUAAUAAAAUUAAGAAUGUGAAAUCCAAUGCUUGUGUCAAAUAUUUAGCAAUACAUAUUAUGCAAUUUUUAUUAUGCAUAUAAGAUUUUAUCAAUUCUUAAUAUAAAAAAUAUAUAUGUAAUAUAAGAUUUUUGUGAUGCCAUUUUUAUUUUUUUUUUAAGUUGAAAACUAUGGGUGCAAAUUGGGUGAAUUGGUCUAAUAAAACCUGAAUUAGCCUAACAAAUUAAUGAUAUUUUACAUUAUAUUUUUUAACAUAAUUAGAAGAUGCAUGCUAAAAAUAUUAUCAUGGUUAAAAAUAAUAUUGUCUUUUACAAACAAUUUAUCUUAUACACUUGCAUUAUACAAUAAAAAUUAUAAUGCUAGUGAAAUUGCCCAAAUUGAACAUUUCCUUUAUUUCAUUUCAUCAUUAAACUUUUAUCCAAAUUUAUACAAUACGAAUACAAUUAUACAAGGAAUCAAUUAGUCAAAUAAAUUUGCAUUUCUUACCCCUAAACUUUACCAUUUCUUAACUAAUCAUCUUCCAGACUCUACGGUACGCUUGUUAUGGUAAUAAUGAGGAACAAGAGAUCCCAAGCCAACCGCACCACAUCUUUCUCUUCACCUUCAUUCCUCACCAAGCUGCUUAGCUAACAGAUCAACAGGUAAGGAACCCAGUGGAACUGGUGAUUCCAUCUCUUCCAAUGACUCAUUCACCAAGUAUUCAUCAUCAUCAUCAUCAUUGUACAUCUCAUCUUCACUAUAAUCCUCACUAUUACAACCUUCAUACUCUGCCUUUGUACCACCAGUUCCAUCUUCACUUGACAUCACUAAAGCUGGAUAGGAGUGCUCGGUGGCCUGUGAAAUGCCUUCGAAUUCCUCUACUAUCUUCAAGCUGUGUCUUCCCCUAUUCUCCACAUUUGUUCCCUCAAAUUAAUUGAUUAGGCCUGAUCACCUGGAUAAUCCCAGAAAAAAUAUUGUCCACUUCCUUUAUUUUGGGAAAAAGUGUGGUUUGUCCCACUGUUGCUUCCAAUAUCUCCUCUCUAGCCUUGUGUCUUAAUGGAGAACAAUCCUUCCAAAAUGGCCUUUGAAACAGGAUAAACUCUUGGGCUUUCUGUUUGGAACUUUGAAAGAACAAUCAAUAGGGAAGAUUCUUUGUUCAUCUUGUGACAAUCAACAGGGAAGAUUUUUUGUUCAUCUUGUCCUUCCUGCUAUCCAAAUGGAGCCUUUAAGUUGUGGAUGUCCAUCUUUUUUACUACCUUGUUGAUUUUGGCUGUAUCCACUAUGGAUGUAGGAAUUAUAGACUUGGAUCCCACAAUGGUCCCCUACUCCAUUAUCUUCUUGUAAAGGUAGCUUUCCUGCUAAGGAGCUCUUCUUCUGUUUAAAGAGUUUCUUCUCUUGUUACCC
rnacentral:lncRNA from 1 species